rnacentral:rRNA from 1 species
CCUACGGGUGGCAGCAGUGGGGAAUAUUGGGCAAUGGGCGCAAGCCUGAUCCAGCAACGCCGCGUGAAGGAAGAAGGCCUUCGGGUUGUAAACUACUUUUAUCAAGGACGAAACAAAUGACGGUACUUGAUGAAUAAGCCACGGCUAACUUCGUGCCAGCCGCCGCGGUACUACGUAGGGGGCAAGCGUUAUCCGGAUUUACUGGGUGGAAAGGGCGUGUAGGCGGGUCUGCAAGUCAGAUGUGAAAACCAUGGGCUCAACCCAUGGCCUGCAUUUGAUACUGUAGUUCUUGAGUGUUGGAGAGGCAGGCGGAAUUCCGAGUGUAGCGGUGAAAUGCGUAGAUAUACGGAGGAACACCAGUGGCGAAGGCGGCCUGCUGGACAAUAACUGACGCUGAGGCGCGAAAGCGUGGGGAGCAAACAGGAUUAGAUACCCGGGUAGUC